CUGGCGGCGUGCCUAACACAUGCAAGUCGAACGAGAAAGUGGAGCAAUCCAUGAGUAAAGUGGCGACCGGGUGAGUAACACGUGACUAACCUACCUCCGAGUGGGGAAUAACUCCGGGAAACCGGGGCUAAUACCGCAUAACAUCGCAAGAUCAAAGCAGCAAUGCGCUUGGAGAGGGGGUCGCGGCUGAUUAGCUUGUUGGCGGGGUAACGGCCCACCAAGGCGAAGAUCGGUAUCCGGCCUGAGAGGGCGCACGGACACACUGGAACUGAAACACGGUCCAGACUCCUACGGGAGGCAGCAGUGGGGAAUUUUGCGCAAUGGGGGAAACCCUGACGCAGCAACGCCGCGUGGAGGAUGAAGCCCUUUGGGGCGUAAACUCCUUUCGACUCGGAAGAUAAUGACGGUACGAGUGGAAGAAGCACCGGCUAACUCUGUGCCAGCAGCCGCGGUAAUACAGAGGGUGCGAGCGUUGUUCGGAAUUAUUGGGCGUAAAGGGCGCGUANGCGGUGCGGUAAGUCACCUGUGAAAUCUCCUGGCUUAACUGGGAGUCUGCAGGCGAAACUACCGUGCUGGAGUGUGGGAGAGGUGCGUGGAAUUCCCGGUGUAGCGGUGAAAUGCGU
rnacentral:rRNA from 1 species